AUCUAGCUGACUAGUCGAAAAUAGAACGAAACGGGCGUUCUAGAU
rnacentral:hammerhead_ribozyme from 1 species